rnacentral:misc_RNA from 1 species
AAAAUAAUGGGGUCAUUGGAAGAAUAUGCACACUCCACACCUGCACUGUUCUUCACAUAUUGUCUUACAAUAAAAAAAGAUAAAAGAAAAGAAAAUUAGUAUACCAAAAUAAAAUAAGCAAAAAAAGCUAAAAUGUUGCUAACUAAUAUAAAAGAAGAAAAACACUCCUUUUUUCACCAAAUAUUUCUCAAAACAAAGAUGAGACCCUGAAAACACACAAAGAUUAAGUUCAUAUUUAGUUUCUCAUUCUUUGGUAUUUCAAAAGCAGAAAAUCAUAAAUUUUAUCUCCCUCCCUCCACGAGUUUAAUUUCUCGGAACACCGAAGCCAAAAGAAAAGGAUCUCGGUAUCUUCCAGAAUCAUAGUCCACAUGCUCCUCACAUUAAAACACUUGAUCCCUGAAAACAAAGGCACGAUAAAACGUACAAACUCAUAUUCAAAUUCCAUGUGCCUCAAAAAUAUGGAUUUAUGCUAGUUGACUAUAUAUACAAAAAAGAAAGGGACUGGAAAAAGAAAAAAGCUCCAACUUAUUCUUCGCUGAUACUUGUCUCCACAAAUACACCCUUGAUCAACUAUUUAGCCUGGAAAUUUGUGACCAGUGCUCAGAAUCUACAACUAUCAAGGAUGCAUAAAAUCAUAAGUUAUAAACUAAGAUCCAAAAAACCCUAGAUCAAUCAUACACUCAAUACAAGAAGGAAAACAACCACUUCAAGCAGCAAAUCUCCAGUCUCAGUUACAUUUGCAAAGACCAGUGUUGUCAUAUAAAGUUACCACCCCAUCUGGAAAAAAAAAUCUGCAUAAAACCAACCACAAAGAAGCCCAAAUUUAAGGAUCAUCAAAACUCAAUCUUAGACAAACAUCCAAAAAAAAUACCAACUGCACAGACAUUAUCUCUCUCUCUAUGAUACCGAAAGGAAACUGGACAAAUACAAAAUUGGGGCUCUGAUCAACACCCUAAACUUGCUGUGUAUUACAUGAACUCAAAAAAAGAAAUAUUUAUGGACAGCCUGUUAUUAAUUAUGGAGAGAAACACUUUCUCUAUUAUCUUUGCCCAUGUUUAGUCCCUGAAAUUUCUCAAUGCUCUAGAGCAGAUCCUGAAAAAAGCAAGGAUCAAAAUCUCAUUCUUUUUAAUCAUUUAAAGGCAUAGAGACUUCUCAAACCAAUGAUCUACAUACUCUCAAACCAAUGGAUGGGAAGAACGUCCAAGUUCACUGGGCUGUAAUUAAGAAGCAUAGAACAAAAACCAUGAUCACUAAAUAAAAAAAAAAAGAAACAGAACAAUGGUCCCCCAAAAUUUUGUUCUUGGACAGAAAAUUUUCAUCCAAAAACCAAGGGAUAUUCUCAAAACAAUGGGCAGUGGUAGAUCCAAGCUGUAAUUAAGAAGCCAAAAUCUAAUUAAUAUUUAAUAUUCAAAAAAUAAAGUCAAUUUUCAAAACUUCCACAAGAGAGAGAGAGAAACUGCAAGCGUUCAGAUAUUAACAGAUCAUUGCAAAAGGAGAAAAAACAAACCACAGGCUUCCAAAAAUAGGGACCCUGGAAAACACAAAUCAAUAGUUCAGAUUCAAAUUCUUGCCCAACUUAAGACAUGUAUUUUAGAAAAAACUAAAAUUCGUCUCCCAAAGUUGGAUUUCAAAUAAAGGAGCAAUAACAAAAUAUCUCACAAAACCAUCUUUGUUAAGAGGCCUCGGAUUCAAAACAAUGAAGCCCUGAAAACAUAUGCAUGACAAACAUACCAAACUGAGAUUAAAAUUCUCCAGAAAUAGGGAUUCAAUAAUUAUUGUUGAUUAAAGAAACAAAAAGGAGAAAGGAAAGCUCCUGUCACUCCCAGCUAAUAUCACUAACAUUUCACGAUGAGUCCACCACACUGAUUAAAUCCUGAAAAAAAAUUUCAAUCAAUUCCCAGAAUCUACCACUCUGACAGAUACUCAAAACUAUAAAUUAUAGCUUUCAGA